GCACUCUUCAGUGAGUGAAUGACAGAUGCACAAUGGCGUCUUGCACUCUGAGAUGUUUGGAACGCUGUAUGCUUUCCUGUUUGAUGCUGGUCCUGAUUUCAUGUUUUACUUGAGCAUUGCAGUGUAGAUGAACAGCAUGAAAGCCCACACCUUGCCCUUUCUAUAGAAACUUCUUCUGAAGAGCUUGAUUGCGAUCUGGAUCAAGGCCAUGCCCGCCAUCGCGUGUUGCAGCCUGCUGACACAGGAUCAGAGGAGCAUUUCAGUCUGGACGAACAGCAUAGAAGCCGACAGCUUGCCCUUCCUGAUGAAACUUCUUUGGAGGACGUAGGCAGCGAAUAGGAACCUUGUCC